rnacentral:rRNA from 1 species
GACGAACGCUGGCGGCGUGCUUAACACAUGCCAGUCGAACGGAAAGGCCCUGCUUUUGUGGGGUUCUCGAGUGGCGAACGGGUGAGUAACACGUGAGUAACCUGCCCUUGACUUUGGGAUAACUUCAGGAAACUGGGGCUAAUACCGGAUAGGAGCUCCUGCUGCAUGGUGGGGGUUGGAAAGUUUCGGCGGUUGGGGAUGGAUUCGCGGCUUAUCAGCUUGUUGGUGGGGUAGUGGCUUACCAAGGCUUUGACGGGUAGCCGGCCUGAGAGGGUGAACGGCCACAUUGGGACUGCGAUACGGCGCAGACUCCUACGGGAGGCAGCAGGGGGGAAUAUUGCGCAAUGGGCGGAAGCCUGAUGCAGCAACCCCGCGUGCGUGAUGACGGCCUUCUGGUUGUAAACCGCUGUCGCCUGUGACGAAGCGUGAGUGACGGUAAUGGGUAAAGAAGCACCGGCUAACUACGUG